AUUGAACGCUAGCGGGAUGCCUUACACAUGCAAGUCGAACGGAGUGGCGAACGGGUGAGUAAUGUAUCGGAACGUGCCCAUUAGCGGGGGAUAACUACGCGAAAGCGUAGCUAAUACCGCAUACUCUUGGCGCGGCCGAUAUCGGAUUAGCUAGUUGGUGGGGUAAAGGCUCACCAAGGCGACGACCCGUAGCUGGUUUGAGAGGACGACCAGCCACACUGGGACUGAGACACGGCCCAGACUCCUACGGGAGGCAGCAGUGGGGAAUAUUGGACAAUGGGGGAAACCCUGAUGCAGCCAUCCCGCGUGUGUGAUGAAGGCCUUCGGGUUGUAAAGCACUUUUGGCAGGAAAGCGGUACCUGCAGAAUAAGCACCGGCUAACUACGUGCCAGCAGCCGCGGUAAUUC
rnacentral:rRNA from 1 species